GACGAACGCUGGCGGCGUGCCUAACACAUGCAAGUCGAGCGGGGUUGAAGCGAGGGGUAACUCGAGUUUCUACCUAGCGGCGGACGGGUGAGUAACGCGUGGGCAACCUGCCUCAAGGACUGGGAUAACAGCUCGAAAGGGCUGCUAAUACCGGAUAAGCCUAUGGCCUCGCAUGGGGCCAUGAGCAAAGGGGAACCCGCCUUGAGAUGGGCCCCGUCCCAUCAGCUAGUUGGUGAGGUGAAGGCUCACCAAGGCGACGACGGGUAGCCGGCCUGAGAGGGUGACCGGCCACACUGGGACUGAGACACGGCCCAGACUCCUACGGGGGCAGCAGUGGGGAAUCUUGCACAAUGGGCGAAAGCCUGAUGCAGCGACGCCGCGUGAGCGAAGAAGGCCUUCGGGUUGUAAAGCUCUGUCUGGAGGGACGAAGGAGUGACGGUACUCCGGAGGAACGCCACGGCUAACUACGUGCCAGCAGCCGCGGUAAUCUCGUCUCU
rnacentral:rRNA from 1 species